UUUCUUCAAAUACGACUAAGAUAAUCAACUUAGAAGUGAGGCUGUGAUAGGCAUGGUUCACCUCGAUCGUCCAACAUGAGGAAGCCAGGAAGGCGACCACAAUCUGGUUGCAGGCUCAUAGUGAAGCACCAGUCACCAUGGUGAGUUGUAGCACAAGAGCAGCUGCAGUUACCUAUCCACACAAAUUUCAUACUAUAUAUUGAAUUAAUCACAGAAAGUUAUUUUAAUCGUCCUGGCCCAACAGAAAUUCAUCUAGUUUACGUGUCAAAAUGGCACACGGCAUAUGGCAGAAGACACUAUGUUACAUGGCAAUAUGUGGAUCAUCAUCUCCCUCACAUUUGUUUGUAACACUGAAAAACAAAUAUAUAUGAUUAGCAGUGAGCCAAUGACAAGAAAUUUAUACACGCCUAAUAAUUUUAGGUGGUCAUAAGCGCAAUAACUAAAGAUAUGUAAUGUAUGUGUGCCACUGGAGAAAACACAUCCUUACAUGCACGGUUAGUACACACAUUAUAAGGCAAAGAUAUACUUGUGCACUUAAAUUAUUGUUGUGCUCUUAUCUUAGAAAACCAUGUGGUUCUGUCAAACUUUCUAUAUGCUCAUAGUGAAUUUGCAAAGAUAAUCCUCACUGAAUUUUGUGUUUUUUUCCUUUAUCAAUAAAUGUCUUAUAUUAGUCUGCAGACAGUUGUGCUUUGCCAAAUAUAUUACCAGCAAAAAGACAAUACAUAGUUCCAAAGUAGACAUUCAUUAAUGCAUUUCUCUGCGUUAGCACUUGAACAGGGAGGAAUAUGCACAAACACAUACCCUCGCCGAGAUAGGACAUGUGUAUUAGCUUCAGGUCUAGUUAGGCCGACCAUUCACUGAACAAACACUAACCAUGUAAUACCUAUAUAUAUAAUAAAACGAAAUAUGAGCUAUAGAAUAUCAGAAGAGCUUCUGUAACCUACAGUUUCAGGGCAAAAAAUGGCAUGUACCAAUCUGAAAAGGUAUUAUUCAUAAGCUACGCUAUGACACACUUGUUCGAACUUAGGCUACAUUUCAUCAGUAUGCAAAUGCUAUGUUUGGAGAUGGUAUUAUUAUUAGCAAGCAUGUAAUAUAGUCAUAAUAGAUAUAAUCAGUUGUACUACGACCUUACAUAAAUAACAAUAGUCAAUAUACAUUUCAUUUUCUUAAGUAUGUAGAUGAUUGUCUAGCAAAUAGCAAACCUACAAUAGGAGUCCAUAGAAUAUGCAGGGAAGCAUUCUAAAAAUAACUUGGGUGCGAGCAACACUAGCCUCUUCAAACUUUCUUGAGUGAAAUUAUUCAUAAUGUAAUGAAGGCACUAUAAUACCGCACAAAAAAUCUUACACAAGAUUAAAGGAAAAUUUGGGUGAGAGGCUGAUAAAUGAAACGUCUUAAAUUUGAUUGCAUGGUAAUUUUACCAUUCAAUUUUCACAAACAGUAAUGUUUUACUUAUACAUAUCUAACAUGGCCAGGAUCAAAUAUGCCAAAAGCAACACCCACUGCCUUGUGAGUGACCUGCAAAGUGGUGCAGAAGUACUCCACUGUCUAUAAGCACAAGAAGUGCCAAAAGCAACAUCCACUGUCUAUAAGCAGGUUUGUCUAUUAGGAAUAUAUGGCAUUAACUGUAGUUACCGUUAACUUGGCCUUAUAGACAAACCUGCUUAUAAUCUCCUAAAGAAAAUCAUUGUUUUGUGUUUGUAGUGGUGCCUCGGAUUUCACUGACAUAUAUCAGCAACCCAAGAAGUCAACACUUUCAGAAAGUACAACUUUGAAAGUUACGAUCCUAACCCGCAGAUUGAUAGUACAAUGUAAAUAGCUACUGUGCAUGUAACAACUUCAAUCGUAUACAUGGAACCCAGAAUUUACCUUCUAUGUGUCAUGUUAACUAAUGGAAAUAGGAGAAGGAUAAAUUCAGGGAAGAUCAAUACAAAUGCGGCCAAAUCCUAUCAACCAGUGAAAAAUCAUGAAGUUAAUAAUUGCUUCAAAUGGAAAAUGUAUAACAAAUAGAACCACCUUAAUUUAACAACAGAAAACAUGAUGCGAUGAGCAAUAAAUCUGUACCUGUAGAUGCGCUAGCAGAGGAGAUCCAAAAAAGGGGAUUUUCAAAGGAGGGGAGAUUGGCGGAAUUUAGACAACGAAGGAGAUCAGAGCUGAGGAGAAAGACAGAGGCACCUGCUCAACGCGCUCCAUGGGUGUCAACUCGGGCUGCC
rnacentral:lncRNA from 1 species